rnacentral:lncRNA from 1 species
GGUCACCUGGAGGAGGGGGACAGCCAUACCCAGCAGGGGCUGAGGGCCCAGUGACAGCCCUGGAAAGGUAGCUGUUCAUGUCCACAGUCCAGCAUCUCUGCCCCAUGAACUCUGCAGACUUAGAGGAGAGCCUUGCCUGUGAGAGUUGGGCUGUGCCUGAUGGGACCCGCUGGAAAGAACCUCAAGAGGAGCCUUUCUCCCCCGCCCCGACUCUAUUCCUCCCUGAUCUCAAGCUGGCCAGGGCAGUGCAGCGCUGGAUUCUGCACACACUGGCAUAUCUUUCUCCAUGGCGGGGGAUUAUGUCAGGCCCUGGGGACAUGGAAAUGAUGCAAUCUGCAAGGCCUCAGAACUUCUGA